CCUACGGGGGACAGCAGUGAGGAAUAUUGGUCAAUGGCCGAGAGUCUGAACCAGCCAAGUCGCGUGAAGGAAGACUGCCCUAUGGGUUGUAAACCUCUUUUGUAUGGGAGUAAAACAGGGUAUGCAUACCCUCUUGUAUGUACCAUAUGAAUAAGGAUCGGCUAACUCCGUGCCAGCAGCCGCGGUAAUACGGAGGAUUCAAGCGUUAUCCGGAUUUAUUGGGUUUAAAGGGUGCGUAGGCGGUGCGAUAAGUUAGAGGUGAAAUCCCGGGGCGCAACUCCGGCACUGCCUCUGAAACUGUCGGGCUAGAGUGCAGGAGCGGUAGGCGGAAUGUAUGGUGUAGCGGUGAAAUGCAUAGAGAUCAUACAGAACACCGAUUGCGAAGGCAGCUUACCGAACUGCGACUGACGUUGAGGCACGAAAGCGUGGGGAGCAAACAGGAUUAGAUACCCUUGUAGUC
rnacentral:rRNA from 1 species